UCUAUCCCUGUCAUUCGUAAUUUUUAAACUUUUUUCAUUUGAAAAUUAUUAUAGCCUUGCAUUUUCGUAUUAGACUCUCUUAAUCAUCUGUAACAUAUUUAUCGUCAGUUUUGAAAUACUGUAUGUACAGUUCCUAUACUUUUGUUACUCACUGAAUGUCAAGUAAGAUUGAACAAUAUAUUUGUAUCAACGUCGAGAGUACCGUGUAAAAUGUCGAGCGACCAUCGUUUUCUGCUUACUGUUACUUAGUGCUUCCAUGCGAUCGUACUCGUAAUUAUCCGUGUGUCGCGAGUGUAUUGUCAAGUGCCGGGAAAAAAGCAAGAAUGAAGGAGCUGGUCUCUAGGAGGCAUCGGGCAAUGGCGGAGCAAUUACAGGAUUAACAUUACAACGUUUGUGCAAUGGUUACUAUAACUCCGCUGCCG